CUCCGGGGGGCAGCCGUGGGGAAUAUUGCACCAUGGGCGCAAGCCUGCUGCCGCCAUGCCGCGUGUGUGAAGAAGGCCUUCGGGUUGUAAAGCACUUUCAGCGGGGAGGAAGGCGUUAAGGUUAAUAACCUUGUCGAUUGACGUUACCCGCAGAAGAAGCACCGGCUAACUCCGUGCCAGCAGCCGCGGUAAUACGGAGGGUGCAAGCGUUAAUCGGAAUUACUGGGCGUAAAGCGCACGCAGGCGGUCUGUCAAGUCGGAUGUGAAAUCCCCGGGCUCAACCUGGGAACUGCAUUCGAAACUGGCAGGCUAGAGUCUUGUAGAGGGGGGUAGAAUUCCAGGUGUAGCGGUGAAAUGCGUAGAGAUCUGGAGGAAUACCGGUGGCGAAGGCGGCCCCCUGGACAAAGACUGACGCUCAGGUGCGAAAGCGUGGGGAGCAAACAGGAUUAGAUACCCCUGUAGUC
rnacentral:rRNA from 1 species